CGCGAGAUUUGCAGUCUUGCCGAACUUUUACAUGACGGUGCGGGAGCAGGGGCGCUGUAGACUUAUAUCAUGCAGUUUUCAUAUGUUGCCAUACAUUCGCGUGUCGGUGUUCAGCCUGUCAAACACGAGCCGCCGUGAGCAGGUCGUUUUUGGGUGAUGUGGAAUGGGGCUCAUGUUCCUGCCUGAACUAAAUGAAAGAUACGUGGCGCCAAUGUCCCACUCCGAGGAUGAUCGACUGGAUGCAGGACGAAGCGCGGACAAAAGAUGUAGCAGCAGCAAACAGACGAAAAGACAAGUGGGUUCUGAUGUGAUGAUCAGGUUGUAAUCAAUGAAGAAACAUCAGCUUGGGGCUGAUCCAUGUCACCAUGCUGAUGUAACGGCAGCAAAGCAAACCGACGAGAAGACGAGUGGGUUCCUGAGAUGAUGUGAACCAGGUUGUAAUCGAUGAAGAAACAUCAGCUUGGGGCUGAUCCAUGUCACCAUGCUGAUAUAACGGCAGCAAAGCAAACCGACGAGUGGGUUCCUGAGACAAUGUGAACCAGUUUCUUUUUCCUCUAGGUUGUAAUCGACGAAGAAACAUCAGCUUGGGGCUAAUCCAGAAGUGUUGACGCCACAGGAAAUUACAAAAUACUGUAGGAUGGAUUGAAUGCAAAUGUGAAACUGUUUGAUUUUAAAAAUAAGUUUAAUAAAUCUAAAACGUGUAAAAUUCAAGCAUAAUGGCACAUUCAAGUAACUGUAUACUAUAAGGAGCUCCCAGCAUGCAUUGGCCAAUCUGUGUUGGGAGACGAUCUGUAGGAUUUCUUCUUUAGAUUUUCUAGAAAGAUCUGCUCCUCUUUGAGGUAUUCACGGUCCUGUGGGAAGAAAAUAAAUUUGAAACUGUAAAUGUUGGAAGAUGGUGUUAUAAAUGUUCAGCAGUUGAAUCCACUGGCUGUAGUGUGAAGUUUGUUAAAUGUGUUUAAACAGUUAAUCUGUUUAUUUCAAAAUAAAAGUUUUUGCAGUAACA